rnacentral:lncRNA from 1 species
UUUCAUCAUAAUCUACUUAAGAUGUCAAAGAUACCUGAGUCUCCUCAAGUUCACUCAUCAUGACGUUCUCACUUCAGGAUUGUAAGAAUCACCUGAUCACUGAUUCUUUUACUCUCUUGGGUAGUGUAUAUGAAGACCUUGAAAACUUUCAAGGAGGGUUUGUUCCAAGGAGGUGGAACUAAUUUUCUAUGCGAUGUUAGAACAUGUUGUUCAACAAGUAUGCAGCUACUGGUUGAAGAGAAGAUGGCUUUAGGUGUCAAACAAAGGGAUAUGUGUGUUUG